UACGGAAGGCAGCAGUGGGGAAUAUUGCACAAUGGGCGAAAGCCUGAUGCAGCUAUGCCGCGUGUAUGAAGAAGGCCUUAGGGUUGUAAAGUACUUUCAUCGGGGAGGAAAAAACAAAACUAGUAAUUUUAUUUCUUGACGUUACCCGAAAAAGAAGCACCGGCUAACUCCGUGCCAGCAGCCGCGGUAAUACGGAGGGUGCUAGCGUUAAUCAGAAUUACUGGGCGUAAAGAGCACGUAGGUGGUUUUUUUAAAGUCAGAUGUGAAAUCCCUGGGCUUAACCUAGGAACUGCAUUUUGAAACUGAAAUACUAGAGUAUCGUAGAGGGAGGUAGAAUUCUAGGUGUAGCGGUGAAAUGCGUAGAUAUCUGGAGGAAUACCUGUGGCGAAAGCGGCCUCCUAAACGAAUACUGACACUGAGGUGCGAAAGCGUGGGGAGCAAACAGGGAUUAGAUACCCGU
rnacentral:rRNA from 1 species